CCAGGCAGCCGGGACUAACCGAAGGCUCUCACUCCAGAAUGCUGUCCUCCCCUUUUUUUUAGUAAGUGAGGUGCUGGGCACUGAACCCAGGCUUCACACUCAGCUAUAUUCCAGUCCUUUUCUAUUUUGAGAGAGAAUCUCACUAAGUUCCCAGGCUCGGCUCCCACUUGUGACUCUCCUGCCUCAGCUUCCCGGAGUGUGGCAUCACAUGUGUGUUCCACUUGUAAGCCAGGGGCCAUUUGAGGCCCUUCACAAUCGGGGAUCCCCGGGGAACCCUGAAAGCCCAGCAAAAGCCUGAAUGCAGCAAGAGGUGAGCUGACACCCCCCUGUGGUGGGCUGCAGGCCCUCUCGUCGCAGGCUGAAGAGCAGAGCCGUGUCCGGCGGUGGACUCAGUGACAUGCUAGCCGGCCCCGGGCCUCCUGCAGAGCCCACUCGGGCAGCGGCGCCCACCUGGCCCUUUGUCACCAGCAGCCAGAGACCUCAGAAAAUCAGGUUUAUUUCCCAACCCAGUCUCAGACCUGGAGCUGCUGAGAUUCAGGCAGGAGGUGAAGGCCUUGGGGCAGACAGCCACGUCCACACCUCCUGCCUGCCCUCCAGGCCUGGCUGUGGGGACGCCGAGCCCCUCUGUCCCCUGCUCACCCGGGAGGGCCAGCGCCCACGGGCUACUUCUUGUCUUUCCUUUGCCUUCUUUCCUUCCAACCUUCCCUCAUCCCUCCCCUUUCUUCAGCUGUCUCCUCCUUCUCCUUCCUCCUCUUCUCUCUGUGACUCCGUAAGGAAUAAACGUCUGUGACUUUUAAAGCACGCUAGUGGAAGAGGCGCGCACACGCCGCCUCUCGGUCCUCCGUCCAGCGGCCACGCCGUGUGCGCAUGCGUGAGCCCGCCCAGGCCGAGUGUCCGCGCGGGAGCAGCGUCAGGAAAACGGCCGCAGAGGCAAUCGCGAUCCACGCUCUUAUGAAACAGCACAGAGCACCGUAAGUGGAGUUAUGCAGCCAGGGAAGAAGGAAACCCGUAACGGCAGACAUAGACUUUUCCUCCUCAGGCCCCUGAGAGCUGAGGUCCGAGGGACGCUGGGUGGAUGUGAUCACUUGGUUAAGUCUGGGGACAGAUGACCCAGGGGCGCCACUUCAGGCUCAGAGGAAUCUGCCAUCCUGUUUUGCCUCUCCGGGGAGCCUGCGGACUGUGCUGUGAACUGCUCUCCUCUGCAAUUCCCCUCUGCAUGUGCCACCCCACUGUGGAGCCAGCCAACUCUGGACUGAAACCUCUACAAACUUCAGACUGACUUCGAGCAAACCACUCCAACUCUCAGAAACACGGACUAGGCUGUAUUCUUUCUUGCAGAGGGUUCAGUGUAUGCAACCAUUACUCUCCCAACUGACCUUGGCGGAUGCGUUUAGAGGGAGAGAAAGGAUCUUGUUACGUAGUCUACACUGGCCUUAAACUCACAAUGGAGCCCAGGCUGGCCUAGAAUUUCCCGGGAUCUUCCUGCCUCAGCUUCCUGAGUGCUCGGAUUACUUGCUCACACCUCGAUGCCAGACCAGAAUGUUUAUUUCAGAGCCUCUCCGUGCAGUUUUUUGUUGUCGUUGUUCUUACCAAGAUACAGGCAAGCGUGUUGCAAUGGUCAGCAUGCGUUUUCUGUCUCUGGUAAUGCACCCCCGUUCUAGCCCUGUCCACUGGCUGGGGUAACAGGAAGGACAGGGCGCUGUGCAUGGUCCCCGCAUGUCCCCCUCAGUCAUCCUUUGCAGCACACUUGAGUGAUGAAUGCAAGAAAGGCCUCAGUGGGCUUCCUGGUUGCCCAUUUCCUUGGAAUCUACGUUUUCGGUCUAUGUUCUUCCACCUGGCUCAGAUGCUAAGCAUGGCCUCAGGAGGCCGCCAGUGCUCCUGUCCCUCAGCCUGACCACAACAUAUGUACUGUCCUCCAGGCCAGGGGAUGCCCAUGUGCCACGGGCCCUGGGACUCUGUCUCCUGCGGUGUGUGAAUGGGAAGAUACCACGGAACUGCAACUGCUUCCACCUCCUCACCCAUCAUAUCAUGGAAGUUCACUUACAAAAAACAGAGGCGCAAGGUGAAACAGUCCAGGAUGUGAAGGCGGUGACAGCAGGGUAUGGCUCAGCCCAGGUCCCUUCUGAGCAAGGAUCCUUGUGCAGGAAGAUGCCCUGGUCACGUGUCAGAUCCCUGGGCUGAGCUGAUACAGACCAUCGAUGUGAGCUCCAGGGGUAGCCCACCACCACCACAGUAAGGGUUAAUCCCGGUGGCAACCGCAUCAGGAGACCUCUGCAAGGGCAAGCGGACUUCGAGGGCAGUCAGCCCAUUCGUUGCCAACCAGGCUGGGGUUCUUUGGCUCUGCACAGAUGGAAAUCAUGAGUCAGCACAGUGCAGCUCUACCUGCAGUCCCAAUGGCACCAGAUGGACCAGGUAACGCCAGAUGCCAUCAGUGGACACAGCCGCCACUGGUCACUGCUGCCAGCCAUCACCGUCUGCUGCUGGCUCGUGCUGGACACCACAGUUGACCCUGCAGGGCACUGAUCUCCCUUGGCUGCUGGUCUGUGGAGCAACUUGGUGUAAACAGCUCUGAGUGAAGUUUUCUUUUCUUCUUUCUUUUUUUUCCCGGUCUUUAUUUUGAAGUAACCAUCCCGUCCACACUGCAACCCAGGCUACCUGAGAAAUAAAUCAGAAGUGGGUUUAUGGAACACCAAA